rnacentral:rRNA from 1 species
AAGAUGGCGACCGGCGCGCGGGUGAGUAACACGUAUCCAACCUGCCGAUAACUCCGGAAUAGCCUUUCGAAAGAAAGAUUAAUACCGGAUGGCAUACGAAUAUCGCAUGAUAUUUUUAUUAAAGAAUUUCGGUUAUCGAUGGGGAUGCGUUCCAUUAGUUUGUUGGCGGGGUAACGGCCCACCAAGACUACGAUGGAUAGGGGUUCUGAGAGGAAGGUCCCCCACAUUGGAACUGAGACACGGUCCAA